rnacentral:rRNA from 1 species
CAAUAGCGUAUAUUAAAGUUGUUGCAGUUAAAAAGCUCGUAGUUGGAUUUCUGGUGGGAGCGAUCGGUCUGGCGCUUAGCGCGAGUACUUGCAUCGUCUCCGGCCAUCCUUGGGGAGAGUCUGUCUGGCAUUAAGUUGUCGGGCAGAGGAUCCUCAUCGUUUACUGUGAAAAAAUUAGAGUGUUCAAAGCAGGCUUAUGCCGUUGAAUAUAUUAGCAUGGAAUAAUAAGAUAGGACUUUGGUACUAUUUUGUUGGUUUGCGCACCAAAGUAAUGAUUAAUAGGGACAGUUGGGGGUAUUCGUAUUCCGUUGUCGGAGGUGAAAUUCUUGGAUUUACGGAAGACGAACUACUGCGAAAGCAUUUACCAAGGAUGUUUUCAUUAA